CUGGAAUGGAUUUCCCAGAGAAGUUGUGGCCACCAUAUCCCAGGAAUUGUCCAGGGCCAGGUUGGAGCAUCCUGGGAUAAUGGAAAGGACUUGGAAUAAGAUGAUUUUUAAGGACCUUCCCAACCCAAACCAAGGCAUGGUUUUGUUAUCCUUGGGCCUGAAAAUGGGAUUUUAGGAGGAAAAGCAGCCCCGACCCUUCCCCUGGGCCUGGGCCAAGCCUUGGUCUCCCUGACCUCAUCCCGAAUUUUGCUGCCGUGCAAUAUUGGGAAUAUAAUGACAGGUUAUUGGGAAUAACCCUAUUAAUGCCUGGGUGUGCCCCAGCCUCAGAUCCACCCUCUGCAUGGAGAACCCUGGGGCAGGUCGGGGCACUUUUGGGCACCAGAUUGCCCCAAUAAAUGAGGAUUUUACUGGGCCAGGAGAGGGAAAAGGGAAAGGGCUGCGAGGAGGAGUUGUGGGAUGGGAUAUCGGAAAGGGAAUGAGGGAUCUGGAUCAUCCUGGAGGUCCUUUCCAUCCCAAACCAUCCCAGGACUCCGCGAAGAUCAGAAGAGGAGGAACAGCCGAACUCCCCGUGCAAGGCCAUAAAAAAUAUGGGAGCACUGGGAGAGAAACAGGGGCCUGCAGAGCCUUUGGAUUGGGGUCGGAUUCGCGUCACACUUCCAAGACCUCUUCUUCCUCCUUUGCUGCAUCCGCGUUUUCCGUUUCUGGCUUUUCCGCACCUGGAAUUUCCUCCUGGCUCUCGUUCCCGGCCGGCUGCCGGCUCCCGCAGCCGCUUCUCCGGCAGGGAUGGAUCCAGCGGGAACGAAAAAUGUAGGAGCAGCGCGACGCUCGCCGGGGGCCCAAUUUUGGGACGAAACCCCCGGAAUGCGGGAUUGGUGCUCCGUGGGAGCUCAGGGAGGUUCCCGAGGAUCCCAGCGCCGUUCCCGCGGAUCCCAAUGCCAUUCCCAAUGAUCCCAGCGCCGUUCCCGAUGAUCCCGGCGCCAUUCCCGAUGAUCCCGGCGCCGUUCCCGAUGAUCCCGGCGCCAUUCCCGAUGAUCCUGGCACCAUUCCCGAUGAUCCCAGUGCCAUUCCCGAGGAUCCCAGCACGGUCUCCUGCGGGCAGGUGCUGAGGACGGGCGCCGGGAAGGUGAGGAGCACCGGAGGAGGGAAGAUGAUGACGCGGGAAGCGCCGCAGGAGAGGGCGCAGGGCCGGCCGGAGCCGGAGGCCGCCGGCCUCGGACACGGCUCUCGGAAUUCCGAGCACAUCUGGGAGAAACCAGGGAAAACCUGCAGCCAGCACAGCGAAAAUAUCCAGGAAUUAGAAGAUUUAUCCCUAUUUAUUUAUAAUUCCCAGUAGGAAAAAAAACCUUGCUCUGCAUAAUGUUUAUUUUAGUUUUAUUUUACGUGAUUCAAUCCAAUUUUUAAUUUUAUUUUUAAUUAAAUAUUUCUUAUUAUAUAUUUUCAAAAAUGAUUUCAUUCUUUAAUUUUAUUUUUAAAAUUCGAUUUGAUUUCCAUCGUAUUUUUUAAAAUUUUGGUUUAAUUUUUAAAAAUUACAUUCAAUUUUCAUGGCUAUUUUAAAAUCUCAUUCGGUUUUUUAAUCUUAUUUUUAAAAAUUCUAUUUACAUUGCGCUGUAUUUUUUAAAUUCAGGUUUUUUUUAAUUGUAGUUUAAAAAAAAAUAAUAAUCUAACUUUUUAAAUGUUACUUUGCAACUGAACUCCCAAAAACCCCACCCUGGCUUUUUCCAGGCCGCGAUUCCAGGGUUUUCCAUCCCUUCCCAGAUGAUUUGUUUAUCUCAGCCCGCCCAGCCCUGCUGUGAUAAUUACCCGGAGCAGAUUCCAGAGCCUGGGAUCAGAUCCGCGUCCGGAGCGCUCCCUUCGCCCCGACAGCUCCAAAACCCCUGGAAUUCUGGAGAAAUCCUUCCUCCGCAUGAAUUCCGGAGGGCCCAGAACUCCACAGGGAAUUUUGGUGCCAAAUUUUUGGUUUUUGGGUUUGCUUUUUUUUUUGUUUUGUUUUGUUUUUUUUUUUCCUUGUGGAAUCCUUGUGGAAUUCAUUCCAGAAUUUCUCCUGGGAUUUACCUGUCAGGGUUCAAAGCUGUGGGAUGCGGAUGAUUCCCAAAAAAAAUCCCUGGA
rnacentral:lncRNA from 1 species